AUUGAACGCUGGCGGCAGGCUUAACACAUGCAAGUCGAGCGGAGCGAGGGUGCUUGCACCUUAGCUUAGCGGCGGACGGGUGAGUAAUGCUUAGGAAUCUGCCUAUUAGUGGGGGACAACAUUCCGAAAGGAAUGCUAAUACCGCAUACGUCCUACGGGGGAAAGCAGGGGAUCUUCGGACCUUGCGCUAAUAGAUGAGCCUAAGUCGGAUUAGCUAGUUGGUGGGGUAAAGGCCUACCAAGGCGACGAUCUGUAGCGGGUCUGAGAGGAUGAUCCGCCACACUGGGACUGAGACACGGCCCAGACUCCUACGGGAGGCAGCAGUGGGGAAUAUUGGACAAUGGGCGGAAGCCUGAUCCAGCCAUGCCGCGUGUGUGAAGAAGGCCUUUUGGUUGUAAAGCACUUUAAGCGAGGAGGAGGCUACUAGUAUUAAUACUACUGGAUAGUGGACGUUACUCGCAGAAUAAGCACCGGCUAACUCUGUGCCAGCAGCCGCGGUAAUACAGAGGGUGCGAGCGUUAAUCGGAUUUACUGGGCGUAAAGCGUGCGUAGGCGGCUUUUUAAGUCGGAUGUGAAAUCCCCGAGCUUAACUUGGGAAUUGCAUUCGAUACUGGGAAGCUAGAGUAUGGGAGAGGAUGGUAGAAUUCCAGGUGUAGCGGUGAAAUGCGUAGAGAUCUGGAGGAAUACCGAUGGCGAAGGCAGCCAUCUGGCCUAAUACUGACGCUGAGGUACGAAAGCAUGGGGAGCAAACAGGAUUAGAUACCCUGGUAGUCCAUGCCGUAAACGAUGUCUACUAGCCGUUGGGGCCUUUGAGGCUUUAGUGGCGCAGCUAACGCGAUAAGUAGACCGCCUGGGGAGUACGGUCGCAAGACUAAAACUCAAAUGAAUUGACGGGGGCCCGCACAAGCGGUGGAGCAUGUGGUUUAAUUCGAUGCAACGCGAAGAACCUUACCUGGUCUUGACAUACAGAGAACUUUCCAGAGAUGGAUUGGUGCCUUCGGGAACUCUGAUACAGGUGCUGCAUGGCUGUCGUCAGCUCGUGUCGUGAGAUGUUGGGUUAAGUCCCGCAACGAGCGCAACCCUUUUCCUUAUUUGCCAGCACUUCGGGUGGGAACUUUAAGGAUACUGCCAGUGACAAACUGGAGGAAGGCGGGGACGACGUCAAGUCAUCAUGGCCCUUACGACCAGGGCUACACACGUGCUACAAUGGUCGGUACAAAAGGGUUGCUACCUCGCGAGAGGAUGCUAAUCUCAAAAAGCCGAUCGUAGUCCGGGAUUGGAGUCUGCAACUCGAC
rnacentral:rRNA from 1 species